CUUCGGAGGUACUCGAGUGGCGAACGGGUGAGUAACACGUGGGUGAUCUGCCCUGCACUCUGGGAUAAGCCUGGGAAACUGGGUUUAAUACCGGAUAGGACCAUGCUUUAGUGUGUGUGGUGGAAAGUUUUUUCGGUGUAGGAUGAGCCCGCGGCCUAUCAGCUUGUUGGUGGGGUAACGGCCUACCAAGGCGGCGACGGGUAGCCGGACUGAGAGGUUGGUCGGCCACAUUGGGACUGAGAUACGGCCCAG
rnacentral:rRNA from 1 species